rnacentral:rRNA from 1 species
UUCCGGUUGAUCCUGCCGGACCCGACUGCUAUCAGAGUGGGACUAAGCCAUGCGAGUCAACACAGCAAUGUGGCAUACGGCUCAGUAACACGUAGUCAACAUGCCCAGGGGACGUGGAUAACCUCGGGAAACUGAGGAUAAACCGCGAUAAGUCACUACUUCUGGAAUGGGUAAUGACUUAAAUCUAUAUGGCCCCUGGAUUGGACUGCGGCCGAUCAGGCUGUCGGUGAGGUAAUGGCCCACCAAACCUGUAACCGGUACGGGCUCUGAGAGGAGGAGCCCGGAGAUGGGCACUGAGACAAGGGCCCAGGCCCUAUGGGGCGCAGCAGGCGCGAAACCUCUGCAAUAGGCGAAAGCCUGACAGGGUUACUCUGAGUGAUUUCCGUUAAGGAGAUCUUCUGGCACCUCUAAAAAGGGUGCAGAAUAAGGGGUGGGCAAGUCUGGUGUCAGCCGCCGCGGUAAUACCAGCACCCCGAGUGGUCGGGACGAUUAUUGGGCCUAAAGCAUCCGUAGCCGGUUCUGCAAGUCCCCCGUUAAAUCCAGCUGCUCAACAGAUAGGCCGCGGAGGAUACUACAGAGCUAGGAGGCAGGAGAGGCAAGCGGUACUCAGUGGGUAGGGGUAAAAUCCGUUGAUCCAUUGAAGACCACCAGUGGCGAAGGCGGCUUGCCAGAAUGCGCUCGACGGUGAGGGAUGAAAGCUGGGGGAGCAAACCGGAUUAGAUACCCGGGUAGUCCCAG